AUUUCCGCACCUACUUGCAUACUUAAUAGGGGGAUUUUUUUUUCAAAUUCGCCUUACUAUCUGGUUUAUAAAUAGAACGAGCCGGUAGUAUAUAUACAGCUGAAAAUUCUUCAAAAUAAUUAAUUCAGACGCAAAGUAAGGAAUAAGCUGGUCAAAACAGAAGAAAAAUUAUUCAAAAUAUAACUUAAUUUUGGCACAAGAUAUAAAGAAAAUAAAUCUAAAGAUGAAGAAGAUUUCUAUCGUUGCGGUUCUAUUGGUGUCGUUGGUUAUUCUGCAAACUAUCACGGAAAUGAGCUCAAUGCCGGUUCACUUUAGAAGAAAAGCCACGUGUUGUCAAAGAAAAUGCCGCGGCAGUAAAGUAUGCGUAAGAUAUGGUAGGGAGUGCAGAUGCAAAAAACCAAUUGGUUACUUUAUAUCAUAAAUCUGUUCAAGUUACCGUUCUUGGUUGACAUGAUUCAGUUACCUCCCUUGACUUUUUGUCACAGUUUUGUCGUCUGCAACAUGGGAACAAAUACUCGGAAGGACGCGAGGAGGAUGUGUUGUCAUCCCGCAAGAGGUGACUUCGGAGGCAAGAAUGUAUUUCGGAGUUGUCUAUAACUUUAGGGGCUUUCAUUCAUGUGUAUAUAAGGACACUUAAAAUGACGAGAGUAACGAACAUUUUUCUUGAAAUAAUUGAAAACUGGAAAGUUACGGGUCUGAAUAGAAAUCCAGUCAUUAAUAGAAAUCCAGUCAUUAUAUGACAUCAUGUUUGUGACGUGAACUAUACGUUGUGAAUACGCUUGACAUAUACAAUCAUGUAAAUAAUUUGUUUAUAAUCAAAAGUUUUUUUUAUCAACUAUGAAUUUAUUAAAAGAAAUUGUAACCAUUUAUAUAUUGCUAUUGCAAGGGUUCUUUAAGUAUAUGUUAAAGUUUAUCAGUACGUAUUUCAAAAUUAAAUUGGUCAGGCGCGACCAAUUUAAUUUUGCAAAUACGUACUAAUAAAUUUAAACCUGUUUAGUUUUAUAAACUGUCGUCUAUUUACUAGACUGAUUCACAGCUUGCCGAUUUACCAAAGUAACUUGUUACGAUUCAUUUGAAAUACUCCAAUCUUUUUAUUGGACAAAAAAUAAUUUCACUCAUUCUGUUUAAAUAACCCUUGCAAUAGUAAAAUUAUUUUAAAGGCACACAAUGCCUCAGAAAUGCAUAUCUAUCAAAAUCUUUAGAAAUUUCAAGCAUGUGUAAAAUAACGUUUUGAUAAUAGUUUUAGAGCAUGAUAGAUGUUUAACAGCGAAAGAAAUUAAUAAUGAAUGUGCAGAAAUGUGUAGUAAAAGUAGCAAAAUGUAAACAAAGUAGUACUCUGACUUCCAUACAAAAUACUUAUUCCAUAUAAUUAUACCAAUUGCCAACAGCGCAAAAGAAGCAAAGAUAGUUAAUUUAUGUUGCAAAUGAUAUUUUUUGGAAACUGUAACAAGAUAUCAAAACGUCAAACGUUUUUUUUUUUUUUUUUUUGAGAAAUAAAAUAAAUAACAUUUCUGAGGCAUUAUGGGCCUUUAAACAAGUUGACAUGUUUUCUUUUUGUAUUUUCCUAGUAUGAUGCAAAGAAAAUAUGACAAUUUACCACGUGAAAAGUGCAAUAUGACUACCAUAAGAUAUUAUGUGUCACGUCUUCGUUGUUUACAACAAGGCAAAUGUUUGCUACAAACAAUCUUCAUGUUGAUAUUAUUUUAUAUACUGUUUUACAUCAUAGAUAAAAUUGCUUGAAUUAAAAUGAAAAAAAACUA